UACGUAGGGUGCAAGCGUUGUCCGGAAUCAUUGGGCGUAAAGGGCGCGUAGGUGGUUCUGUAUGUCUACCGUGAAAGCAUACAGCUCAACUGUAUUUUGUCGGUAGAAACUGCAGGACUUGAGGCUGGGAGGGGCUGGUGGAAUUCCCUGUGUAGCGGUGAAAUGCGUAGAGAUGGGGGAGAACACUCGUGGCGAAGGCGGCCAGCUAGACCAGUUCUGACACUGAGGCGCGACAGCGUGGGGAGCAAACAGG
rnacentral:rRNA from 1 species